rnacentral:rRNA from 1 species
AGUGAACGCUGGCGGUAGGCCUAACACAUGCAAGUCGAACGGCAGCACAGUAAGAGCUUGCUCUUACGGGUGGCGAGUGGCGGACGGGGGAGGAAUACAUCGGAAUCUACUUUUUCGUGGGGGAUAACGUAGGGAAACUUACGCUAAUACCGCAUACGACCUACGGGUGAAAGUAGGGGAUCUUCGGACCUUGCGCGAUUGAAUGAGCCGAUGUCGGAUUAGCUAGUUGGCGGGGUAAAGGCCCACCAAGGCGACGAUCCGUAGCUGGUCUGAGAGGAUGAUCAGCCACACUGGAACUGAGACACGGUCCAGACUCCUACGGGAGGCAGCAGUGGGGAAUAUUGGACAAUGGGCGCAAGCCUGAUCCAGCCAUACCGCGUGUGUGAAGAAGGCCUUCGGGUUGUAAAGCCCUUUUGUUGGGAAAGAAAAGCAGCAGGUUAAUACCCCGCUGUUCUGACGGUACCCAAAGAAUAAGCACCGGCUAACUUCGUG